UGGGGAAUUUUGGACAAUGGGCGAAAGCCUGAUCCAGCAAUGCCGCGUGUGUGAAGAAGGCCUUCGGGUUGUAAAGCACUUUUGUCCGGAAAGAAAUCCUUGGCUCUAAUACAGUCGGGGGAUGACGGUACCGGAAGAAUAAGCACCGGCUAACUACGUGCCAGCAGCCGCGGUAAUACGUAGGGUGCAAGCGUUAAUCGGAAUUACUGGGCGUAAAGCGUGCGCAGGCGGUUUGCUAAGACCGAUGUGAAAUCCCCGGGCUCAACCUGGGAACUGCAUUGGUGACUGGCAGGCUAGAGUAUGGCAGAGGGGGGUAGAAUUCCACGUGUAGCAGUGAAAUGCGUAGAGAUGUGGAGGAAUACCGAUGGCGAAGGCAGCCCCCUGGGCCAAUACUGACGCUCAUGCACGAAAGCGUGGGGAGCAAAACAGGAUUAGAUACCCUGGUAGUCCACGCCCUAAACGAUGUCAACUAGUUGUUGGGGAUUCAUUUCCUUAGUAACGUAGCUAACGCGUGAAGUUGGCCGCCUGGGGAGUACGGUCGCAAGAUUAAAAACUCAAAUGAAUUGACGGGGUCAUAGCUGUUUCCU
rnacentral:rRNA from 1 species